AUACGUAGGGGACGAGCGUUGUCCGGAAUUACUGGGCGUAAAGGGUGCGUAGGUGGCCUUUUAAGUUGGAUGUGAAAUACCCGGGCUUAACCUGGGGGGUGCAUCUAAUACUGGGAGGCUAGAGUGCAGGAGAGGAAAGCGGAAUUCUUAGUGUAGCGGUGAAAUGCGUAGAUAUUAGGAGGAACACCAGUGGCGAAGGCGGCUUUCUGGACUGUAACUGACGCUGAGGCGCGAAAGUGUGGGGAGC
rnacentral:rRNA from 1 species